rnacentral:misc_RNA from 1 species
CAGAGUUGCAAAACUCCCUAAACCAUUGUGAACGUUACCUUAUACCGUUGCUUCGGCGGGCGGACCGGGUCCUGCCCGGCGCCCCUCGGCCCCUCGCGGGGCGCCCGCCGGAGGUAAACCAAACUAUUGCAUUGUAUGGCCUCUCUGAGUCUUCUGUACUGAAUAAGUCA